rnacentral:rRNA from 1 species
UACGGAGGAUCCAAGCGUUAUCCGGAAUCAUUGGGUUUAAAGGGUCCGUAGGCGGGCUAAUAAGUCAGAGGUGAAAGUUUGCAGCUCAACUGUAAAAUUGCCUUUGAUACUGUUAGUCUUGAGUUAUAGUGAAGUGGUUAGAAUAAGUGGUGUAGCGGUGAAAUGCAUAGAUAUCACUUAGAAUACCGAUUGCGAAGGCAGAUCACUAACUGUAUACUGACGCUGAGGGACGAAAGCAUGGGUAGCGAACGGG